CUCCCAUUCAUAGGCUGGGUAUGUCUACACUAGAAAAUUAGAUCGAAUUUACAGAAGUCGAUCUUUAGAAAGCGAUUUUAUGCAGUCAGUCAUGUAUGUCCCCAUUAAGUGCAGUAGGUCAGUGGAGUGUGUCCUCAGUACCAUGGCUAGGAGUGGUGCACUGUGGAUAGCUAUCCCGCAGUCUCUGCCAUCCAUUGGAAUUCUGGGUUAAGCUCCCAAUGUCUGAUGAGGCAGAAACAUUGUCGCGGGUGGUUUUAGGUACAUGGUGUCAGUCGUCCCUCCCUCAGUCAAAGCAACGGCAGACAAUUGUCUCACGCCUU